GUCCACGCCCUAACGAUGAGGACUAGAUGUCGGAAGGGUCUGCCUUUCGGUGUCGCAGCUAACGCGUUAAGUCCUCCGCCUGGGGAGUACGGCCGCAAGGUUGAAACUCAAGGAAUUGACGGGGACCCGCACAAGCGGUGGAGCAUGUGGUUUAAUUCGAUGCAACGCGAAGAACCUUACCUGGUCUUGACAUCCUCGGAAUCCUGCAGAAAUGCGGGAGUGCCUUCGGGAACCGAGAGACAGGUGCUGCAUGGCUGUCGU
rnacentral:rRNA from 1 species